UACGUAGGUGGCAAGCGUUGUCCGGAUUUACUGGGCGUAAAGAGCGCGCAGGCGGUCGUUCAAGUCGAGUGUGAAAGCCCCCGGCUCAACUGGGGAGGGUCAUUCGAUACUGAUCGACUCGAAGGCAGGAGAGGGUAGUGGAAUUCCCGGUGUAGUGGUGAAAUGCGUAGCUAUCGGGAGGAAUACCAGUGGCGAAGGCGACUACCUGGCCUGUUCUUGACGCUGAGGCGCGAAAGCUAGGGGAGCAAACGGG
rnacentral:rRNA from 1 species